CGUAGGGUGCGAGCGUUAAUCGGAAUUACUGGGCGUAAAGCGUGCGCAGGCGGUUUUGUAAGACAGAUGUGAAAUCCCCGGGCUCAACCUGGGACCUGCAUUUGUGACUGCAAGGCUAGAGUACGGUAGAGGGGGAUGGAAUUCCGCGUGUAGCAGUGAAAUGCGUAGAUAUGCGGAGGAACACUGAUGGCGAAGGCAAUCCCCUGGACCUGUACUGACGCUCAUGCACGAAAGCGUGGGGAGCAAACAGGAUUAGAUACCCUGGUAGUCCACGCCCUAAACGAUGUCAACUGGUUGUUGGGUCUUUACUGACUCAGUAACGAAGCUAACGCGUGAAGUUGACCGCCUGGGGAGUACGGCCGCAAGGUUG
rnacentral:rRNA from 1 species